GUCAGAUGAUGAGCUUAAGCUUUUUGAGAGGUCCUUGGCUGCCGUCAACGAGAGGUAUGCUGUGCGGACAUCAAGAGACCCGAACAAGCCGUCUUAAUCCAAUGUCGUCUUCUCCAUGAUCCACUCCGGGUGCAGAAUCUCUCUGGACAAUGUACCGGUUCCAGUUGUCAAAGAAACCGUCAAAGUUUCCAUAUUUGGAACGGAAUACUACAAGAAGACUCCAGCGAAAAAAAAAAACAGGAUUCAAGCACCACUGACUGGCCAAAGUAGGUGCACGAGAAAAAGUGAAUGAACCUCCAAGGCACAAUAAAGAGGGUUCACGAGACUUUUUCCCUUUUCGUGGAACGGCUAAGUAGUCUGCACCAUACUAACGACUGAAGCACCAUACAUCAGGUCGCAUGUUUUGGUUACAUGAUGGGCAAAAACUAGGCAGCUCAACAUUGGCUGUUUCUAGUUCCACGAUACUAAAAGUACAUGUUGAGACUAAUUUAAAAAUACUAGGUGAUAAAUGCUAAGUUUAGACAAUCGCCUA